rnacentral:rRNA from 1 species
UACGGAGGGGGCUAGCGUUGUUCGGAAUUACUGGGCGUAAAGGGCGCGUAGGCGGCCUUCUAAGUCGAACGUGAAAUCCCCGGGCUCAACCCGGGAACUGCGUCCGAUACUGGAAGGCUUGAAUCCGGGAGAGGGAUGCGGAAUUCCAGGUGUAGCGGUGAAAUUCGUAGAUAUUCGCAAGAACACCAGUGGCGAAGGCGGCUCACUGGCCCGGUACUGACGCUGAGGUGCGAAAGCGUGGGGAGCAAACAGG